AGGGCACACGGUGGAUGCCUUGGCAUAGGAAGCCGACGAAGGACGUGGCAAGCUGCGAUAAGCCGCGGUGAGGGGCAAGCACCCUUCGACCCGCGGAUCUCCGAAUGGGGGAACCCUGCUGGGGUCGAGCCCAGCAACGGCAGGCUGAAUACAUAGGCCUGCGCGAGGCAACCCGGGGAACUGAAACAUCUAAGUACCCGGAGGAAAGGAAAUCAACCGAGACUGCGCGAGUAGCGGCGAGCGAAAGCGCAAGAGCCUAAACCCGUGCGCGUGUAAGCCUCCAGGCGUUGCCGCACGUGGGGUAGUGGGACCCUCCGUCCCGUCGCUGGAGCGGCGGGGUCGGGUCAGAAACCCUCGGUCCAGGGGAACCGGCUGGGAAGCCGGGCGAUACAGGGUGAGAGCCCCGUACCCGAAGGACCGCGGGCCCGAGAGAGGGAUCCCGAGUAAUGCCGGACACGUGAAACCCGGUAUGAAUCUGGGGGGACCACCCUCCAAGGCUAAGCACUCUCCUAUGACCGAUAGCGAACCAGUACCGUGAGGGAAAGGUGAAAAGCACCCCGAGAGGGGAGUGAAACAGUACCUGAAACCGUGUGCCUACAAGCAGUCGGAGCAGCCAUGCGCUGUGACGGCGUGCCUUUUGUAGAAUGAGCCAGCGAGUUGCGGUUGGCGGCGAGGUUAAGGCGUGAACCGAGCCGCAGUGAAAGCGAGCCUUUAAGAUGGCGAUCAGUCGCCAGCCGCAGACGCGAAGCCGGGUGAUCUAUCCAUGGGCAGGCUGAGGCAGAGGUAAGACUCUGUGGAGGGCCGAACCCACUUCGGUUGAAAACGGAGGGGAUGACCUGUGGAUAGGGGUGAAAGGCCAAUCAAACCCGGAGAUAUCUCGUUCUCCCCGAAAUAGCUUUAGGGCUAGCCUCGAUCGCUUACCGACGGUGGUAGAGCACUGGAUCCGUGCGGGGGCCUCACCGCCUACCAACCGAAACCAAACUCCGAAUGCCGUCGGUCCCGAGAUCGGGAGUCAGAACAUGUGGGCUAAGCCGUGUGUUCGAGAGGGAAACAGCCCAGACCGCCUGCUAAGGUCCCCAAAUCAACGCUGAGUGGCAAAGGAUGUGCGUUUGCCUAGACAACCAGGAUGUUGGCUUAGAAGCAGCCAUGCAUUUAAAGAGUGCGUAACAGCUCACUGGUCAAGUGGACAUGCGCCGACAAUACACGGGGCUAAGCGUUGUACCGAAGCAGCGGACUGUUUUAUCAGUGGUAGGGGAGCUUUCCAUGCCGGGGCGAAGCCGACGGGCGACCGUCGGUGGACUGCAUGGAAGUGAGAAUGCUGGCAUGAGUAACGAGAGAGGGGCGAGAAACCCCUCCGCCGUAAGCCUAAGGGUUCCUGGGCAAGGCUAAUCCCCCCAGGGUCAGUCGGGAGCUAAGGCGAGGCCGACAGGCGUAGCCGAUGCACAACAGGCGGACAUUCCUGUACCACCGCGGAGCGUUACUACGACGGGGUGACGGAGAAGGGUAGCCGGGCGGGGUUCUGGACGUCCCCGUGAAAGCGCGUAGGCCGCAGGGCAGGCAAAUCCGCCCUGCAGCGAGGCCGAGACGUUAGACGAAGCUUCAUGUGAAGCCGGCGAGCCCAUGCUUCCGAGAAAAACCUCUAAGGAGCGAGGCGGUGCCCGUACCAAAACCGACACAGGUAGGCGGGUAGAGCAUACCAAGGCGAUCGGGAGAACCAUGGUUAAGGAACUCGGCAUACUGACUCCGUAACUUCGGGAGAAGGAGUGCCCCCGCCUGUGAGGUCCCACGCGGACGGAGCGGGAGGGGGUCGCAGCGAAACGGCCCAAGCGACUGUUUACCAAAAACACAGGACUCUGCAAAGCCGCAAGGCGACGUAUAGGGUCUGACGCCUGCCCGGUGCUGGAAGGUUACGCGGAUGAGUUAGCGCAAGCGAAGCCCUGAAGCCAAGCCCCAGUAAACGGCGGCCGUAACUAUAACGGUCCUAAGGUAGCGAAAUUCCUUGUCGGGUAAGUUCCGACCUGCACGAAUGGCGUAACGACUUGGGCGCUGUCUCAACCAUGGACCCGGUGAAAUUGUAUUAUUCGUGAAGAUGCGAAUUACCUGCGGAAGGACGGAAAGACCCCGUGAACCUUUACUGCAGCUUGGCAUUGGCUGUUGGUGCGGUGCGUAGAGGAUAGGCAGGAGCCUGCGAACCGGGAACGCCAGUUCCCGGGGAG
rnacentral:rRNA from 1 species